rnacentral:rRNA from 1 species
GAGUGGAGGUGGCGAGGCGGCUCUCUGGUCUGUAACUGACGCUGAGGCGCGAAAGCGUGGGGAGCGAACAGGAUUAGAUACCCUGGUAGUCCACGCCGUAAACGAUGAGUGCUAAGUGUUAGAGGGUUUCCGCCCUUUAGUGCUGCAGCAAACGCAUUAAGCACUCCGCCUGGGGAGUACGGUCGCAAGACUGAAACUCAAAGGAAUUGACGGGGGCCCGCACAAGCGGUGGAGCAUGUGGUUUAAUUCGAAGCAACGCGAAGAACCUUACCAGGUCUUGACAUCCUCUGACAACCCUAAAGAUAGGGCUUCCCCUUCGGGGGCAGAGUGACAGGUGGUGCAUGGUUGUCGUCAGCUCGUGUCGUGAGAUGUUGGGUUAAGUCCCGCAACGAGCGCAACCCUUGAUCUUAGUUGCCAGCAUUCAGUUGGGCACUCUAAGGUGACUGCCGGUGACAAACCGGAGGAAGGUGGGGAUGACGUCAAAUCAUCAUGCCCCUUAUGACCUGGGCUACACACGUGCUACAAUGGGCAGAACAAAGGGCAGCGAAGCCGCGAGGCUAAGCCUAUCUCACAAAUCUGAUCUCACUGCGGAUCCCAGUCUGGGCUUGGCUGCGUGAGGCUGGUAUCGCUAGAAAUCGCGGAUCAGCAUCCCGCUGUGAAUACGUUCCCUUGCCUUGUGCACACCGACGGUAACUCCUCGAGUGUU